AGCUUUGUGCAGUGGCAGUAUCAUAGCCAAUGAGGUUUAUCUGAGGUGUGAUUAUUGCUAAUUGAAAACUUUUCACCCCCUCUUACAUAGAAUAUUCUUUUCCUAUCUUUGAUUUUUGGUCUAUGAAUUAUUUUUGGAUUAGAUGUGCCUCU
ensembl:snRNA U4 U4 spliceosomal RNA